AUUGAACGCUGGCGGCAGGCCUAACACAUGCAAGUCGAACGGUAACAGAAAGCAGCUUGCUGCUUUGCUGACGAGUGGCGGACGGGUGAGUAAUGUCUGGGAAACUGCCCGAUGGAGGGGGAUAACUACUGGAAACGGUAGCUAAUACCGCAUAACGUCGCAAGACCAAAGAGGGGGACCUUCGGGCCUCUUGCCAUCGGAUGUGCCCAGAUGGGAUUAGCUAGUAGGUGGGGUAAAGGCUCACCUAGGCGACGAUCCCUAGCUGGUCUGAGAGGAUGACCAGCCACACUGGAACUGAGACACGGUCCAGACUCCUACGGGAGGCAGCAGUGGGGAAUAUUGCACAAUGGGCGCAAGCCUGAUGCAGCCAUGCCGCGUGUAUGAAGAAGGCCUUCGGGUUGUAAAGUACUUUCAGCGGGGAGGAAGGGAGUAAAGUUAAUACCUUUGCUCAUUGACGUUACCCGCAGAAGAAGCACCGGCUAACUCCGUGCCAGCAGCCGCGGUAAUACGGAGGGUGCAAGCGUUAAUCGGAAUUACUGGGCGUAAAGCGCACGCAGGCGGUUUGUUAAGUCAGAUGUGAAAUCCCCGGGCUCAACCUGGGAACUGCAUCUGAUACUGGCAAGCUUGAGUCUCGUAGAGGGGGGUAGAAUUCCAGGUGUAGCGGUGAAAUGCGUAGAGAUCUGGAGGAAUACCGGUGGCGAAGGCGGCCCCCUGGACGAAGACUGACGCUCAGGUGCGAAAGCGUGGGGAGCAAACAGG
rnacentral:rRNA from 1 species